GCUGGUGUUUGCAGCUCAGUCAGUUAAUUGAAACAAAAGCUGGAAGCAAGGAGCUACCCUGGAAAGACAAUGGCUGAAAAGGAACUACAGUCCAGCAUUUCAGAUAUUCGAAGAGAAGUAGCUUGGCCCUCACAGUGUCUCGGGCAGUGUAGAGUCAGUAGCUGGACAGUCUAUGACAAAGGAUUGCCAUCCACGCUAACCAGGAGAACAGAAGUUUUUGAGACAUCUGCCAGUGAUAACAAGGAAUGGAUGCUAGGGAAUAGUCCAGAAGAGAAAACAUGAGUGAUGUUUAUCAUCUGGAUUCUAAAGGAAAAGGAAUAAGCUCUUUGAGGAGACGUUUUGCUUCAGGAAGGACAACACCAAUUUCCAAAAUCUCCCACACUUUUCUCCUAAAAAAGAUAUCCAUGUAAUGAAGUGUCCUAGGAGGACUAUGCAACCAUGCAACUAAACAGUCUUUUUUGACUGGAAUAACUAGAAUAUUUCAUGGCCUGAAAAAUUUGGGUUAAAGUGAAUUUAGAAAUUUCUGGAUCUAUUAUGAUGCUGGUAGCAGAUCUUUUCUAUUAUUGAAAUUCUGUAAUUUCCUUCCAACAAAGAGUUAUCAAAAACAGGUGUGCUUUAUUCAUAUCAUAUGUAUGAAUUUUUUUCAAGAAACAAAAGGAAAACUGAUUAUUUCUGUAAGAAAAAAUCUGCAUUAGGGAAGAUAUUUUUUUCUCUCGAUCAUU
rnacentral:lncRNA from 1 species